rnacentral:rRNA from 1 species
GACGAACGCUGGCGGCGUGCUUAACACAUGCAAGUCGAACGGAAAGGCCUUUUCGGAGGUACUCGAGCGGCGAACGGGUGAGUAACACGUGGGUGAUCUGCCCUGCACUCUGGGAUAAGCCUGGGAAACUGGGUCUAAUACCGGAUAGGACCGCACUUUAGUGUGUGUGGUGGAAAGUUUUUUCGGUGUAGGAUGAGCCCGCGGCCUAUCAGCUUGUUGGUGGGGUAAUGGCCUACCAAGGCGGCGACGGGUAGCCGGACUGAGAGGUUGGUCGGCCACAUUGGGACUGAGAGACGGCCCAGACUCCGACGGGAGGCAGCAGGGGGGAAUAUUGCACAAUGGGCGCAAGCCUGAUGCAGCGACGCCGCGUGGGGGAUGACGGCCUUGGGGUUGUAAACUCCUUUCGCCAGGGACGAAGCGUUUUGUGACGGUACCUGGAGAAGAAGCACCGGCUAACUACGUG